ensembl:lncRNA PITRM1-AS1 PITRM1 antisense RNA 1
GCGGGGCAGACAAUGAUGGGAGGGUCUGCAGCACAGACACAGGCUCCUUGAAGACGCCCGUGGUGAGAUCAGCCCCAGGUCGCCGCUUCCACAGACAGGCCUUUUCCUAAAGUGGAUGAAGGGAGUCAAAUAGGCCAGGAAUGUGUUAAAUCACUCUACUCCACAAGGAACCAAACCAAACAGCAUCAGCACCAGGCUGAGUCGCGGAAAGGAUCUGUCAGACCGCUCCACUGGCAUCGACUCAGCUCGGGAGCUACGUUCAAAGAAGGGACCCAAGGAUUGAGAAGAACAAUGGAUUUUUUGAUGUGUGGUGCAACAAACGCAUAGCUGAGGGCUGUAAAUCGGGAUGGAUCAGUCGGUCUGCCCACCAGCCGUGAGGGAAGUGGGGAGAAGCUGUCACCCCAACUUGAGUUCAAGAAGACUCCUUGGAAGAAAAGACCACCAAAUUGAGAAUGAAAAGGAUGGGUUCUCGGUGGUAGCUAGAAGCACAAAGCUGUGGCUUCCAGAACAGCUGGAGGGGCCGGGAGGAUAGAAAUGCCCACAAGACAGACGAAAGACUCCCCACUCCUGGGGCGGCGUGGAAGGUCAUCUCCUACUUUAG